ACAUUGAAACAGCGGUUCCCGUACAAGCACUGAAGUUAAGCAACGUCGAACCUGGUGAGUACCUAUAUGGGUGACCAUUUGGGAGUAGCAAGUGCUGUUA